CUCAAAUUGAGUUUGAUUGACUUCCGGGAUGGCAAGUUUGAGGACAGCCGACACCACAAAAGAUGGCUGACUACUGUCUCCUAUCCACCUGACUGUCGGGCAAACCUGCCCUCUGGGCUGCAUUGCUCCUGGAAAAGCAUUGCGCUGGCCUCUCUUGGAGGCUGGGUCCAGCUCCAUCACCAAAUGCUCCUCUCAAUGGCUCAUUCCUCUCAUGUGAUCCAGCAAGCAGACACUUCCAGACAGCAGGUCGUGUCACAUCCUGUCUAACAGCAAAGGUGUGUGAAGUUCCUGGGCUUCCAAGGACCUAAUUGCCUCCUCCAUACAGGGGUUGGGGGUUGCUCCAUGGACUUCCAGGGUGAUCAGAGGCAUGGCAAGUGCAUCCCUCCACGUCC
ensembl:lincRNA Gm44725 predicted gene 44725